UAUGAUAGAAAUUUUCGCUCACCUCAAGAAGCUUAAAAUAAUGUAUUUCUUAAAGAAAUAACAGAUAAAAAUCUGGAGAAGAAUGUUAAUCAUAGAGGUUAUGUUGAAACAUAGGCACAAUCCUAGGUAUACAUGGACUCUUAGCCGCAAUAUUAGAGCAGGAGUAGUAAAAACAUAAAAAAUUUAAGGUGGAUUGUUGGAAAAAUAUGAUAAAAUAAUAAAAUCUAAAUUGUGUUGGAUGAUGUUUGUAAUACCCGGCUAGACUCCGGUAUCGGAAUUCCUAUCUAUCGUCCGGUGGAAUAUCGAAUAUCGGAAACUUCUAGAAGGGUAAAGUCAUGUUUUUAUAUAAUGUUUUAUUAUUCUGCUCACUGGGCUCUAAUAGCUCAUCCCACUCCCUUAACCCAAGGUUUGCUAGUACAGGGAGCCACAAUAUUAGAGUAGGAGGAGUAAAAACAUAAAAAAUUUAAGGUGGAUUGUUGGAAAAAUAUGAUAAAAUAAUAAAAUUU
rnacentral:lncRNA from 1 species